AGAGCAGAGCACAGGCUUCAGCUGUGAAAAUUGAGCAUUCUUUUGGAAUUCUAGAUCCAUACUGUUGAUGUCCAGUCACCAUCGCUGCAGCUACGCCAUUUUACGCCUUUGAUCCAUCCGUGAAUAUUGGCUUCUUUAAUAUCCAAGGAGGCAAGGAACUGAAGUGUGUUUGAGGAUUGACUCACCGAGUGUAGGAGCACACACUGUUUGUUCCGUGGUAGGCUGAAUGACCUCUGGAAUUCCUGACUGAGCUGUGGCCUUUUUUUGUGAUUCUGACUGCAGAUGAUGUGUGGAAGCCAAGGAGUUAUAACCCCACUCAUGACUAAUCUCCUGGAUUGGGCUGCGUAUGAAAAAUACACACUUGAAACGUUUAAUUUAACUCAUAUAAUUUUGCUAAAUUAUUGCAGAUCUUAUUGGAUAAAUUCAAACACUGUGACUGGAGAACUGAUUUAAUAUGGCAUAACAGAUGAGAACAAAUUAACACAAUUUCCAGAUUACAUUGUACUUAAGUGUUUUUUGUUUUUUUUAAACUGUAAUUAACAGUAAGGCUAAUGUUGCUAACUGAAGGAAAGACUACAGCUACCGUGCAACUGAAUCACUUUACUUAAGAUUGUGUUCCAUUGAUUAGGAGAGGACCUUAUUCUGAUAUUUAAAGACAUUAAUACAAUAUACAUUAUU